GGUUAUUAUUAAUUAGCAUUAGUCUCUCUACUAUCUUGAACAACUAUAUGUUUGAUGCAUUAACAGAUGCUGUUUAUAGUCCAUACUCCAACUCUGUCUUUCUUUGAUCAAGACAUUUGUUGUUGCUUAAGAGAGAGUGUCUUCAAGAAGGUAUGUUCCAUUUUUCAGUAUUCACAUACAUGCAUAGAUGCAAGUAGGCUAGACUAGCGCAUUUAUUUGGUUUAGAUCCUGUCUUCAUUUUGCAGGCACCUGUGGUGUAUUUUUUUAAUAUCUGAUUUUCAUGUACAAGACUGUUAACAAAAUUCUGGUGCAAAUAGGAUGUUUCUGCUGAUGCUGGUUGUUGUUAGGGGUGAUGAUGAAUAACGAUAUCGAUGAAGAAAUGCAAGAUUUUGAAGAUGAAGAGGUGUAGAUGUUUAAGUUUUUUUAAUAGGAUAUACAUUUUGAAGAUGUUAGUUUGAUGGUGAAUGAUUCACAUUAGGAUAUACAUUUAAUAUGUUAGUUUGAUUGUGAAUGAUUGACAAUAUUUAGGACAACUUUAUGUUGAUUGAUGUUAUUUUGAUACUGUAUAUAUGAAAGAUAAUCAUUUUAGUUUAAUAAUUUGUUAUGUCUUUUAUUAUUUCA